rnacentral:rRNA from 1 species
UACGUAGGGGCCGAGCGUUGUCCGGAUUCAUUGGGCGUAAAGAGCGUGUAGGCGGCCGCUUAAGUCCUGCGUGAAAUCUCGGAGCUCAACUCCGAGCGGUCGUGGGAAACUGGGCGGCUAGAGUGCGGGAGAAGAGAGUGGAAUUCCUGGUGUAGCGGUGGAAUGCGCAGAUAUCAGGAAGAACACCCGUGGCGAAAGCGGCUCACUGGACCACAACUGACGCUGAUGCACGAAAGCUAGGGGAGCAAACAGG